GCCAGAAUGGUGUAGUGGUUUGAGUGUUGGACUAUGAUUCUGGUGACCAGGGUUCGAAUCCCUGCUUGGUCA
rnacentral:tRNA from 1 species